rnacentral:snoRNA from 1 species
UUGCACUGUUCGUAACCUGUUUACAGUAUCUUUCUGCUAAUGGGUUCCAUUCCAGUGCUACAUAAAUCACCAAAGUAAAGAAAGGCUGGCUGGUUCAUUGGUUGGCUGCUGUUUAUUUUGGGGGACAUAA